AGUAACGGCGAGUGAAGCGGCAACAGCUCAAAUUUGAAAUCUGGCUCUCGGGCCCGAGUUGUAAUUUGUAGAGGAUGCUUUUGGUGAGGUGCCUUCCGAGUUCCCUGGAACGGGACGCCAUAGAGGGUGAGAGCCCCGUCUGGUUGGACGCCGAACCUCUGUAAAGCUCCUUCGACGAGUCGAGUAGUUUGGGAAUGCUGCUCUAAAUGGGAGGUAUAUGUCUUCUAAAGCUAAAUACCGGCCAGAGACCGAUAGCGCACAAGUAGAGUGAUCGAAAGAUGAAAAGAACUUUGAAAAGAGAGUUAAACAGUACGUGAAAUUGUUGAAAGGGAAGCGCUUGUGACCAGACUUGGGCUUGGUUGAUCAUCCGGGGUUCUCCCCGGUGCACUCUUCCGGCCCAGGCCAGCAUCAGUUCGCCCUGGGGGACAAAGGCAUCGGGAACGUGGCUCUCUCCGGGGAGUGUUAUAGCCCGUUGCGUAAUACCCUGCGGCGGACUGAGGUUCGCGCAUUCGCAAGGAUGCUGGCGUAAUGGUCAUCAGUGACCCGUCUUGAAACACGGACCAAGGAGUCGUCUUCGUAUGCGAGUGUUCGGGUGUCAAACCCCUACGCGAAAUGAAAGUGAACGCAGGUGAGAGCUUCGGCGCAUCAUCGACCGAUCCUGAUGUUAUCGGAUGGAUUUGAGUAAGAGCAUACGGGGCCGGACCCGAAAGAAGGUGAACUAUGCCUGUGUAGGGUGAAGCCAGAGGAAACUCUGGUGGAGGCUCGCAGCGGUUCUGACGUGCAAAUCGAUCGUCAAACAUGGGCAUGGGGGGCGAAAGACUAAUCGAACCUUCUAGUAGCUGGUUUCCGCCAU
rnacentral:rRNA from 1 species